AUUGAACGCUGGCGGCAUGCCUUACACAUGCAAGUCGAACGGCAGCACGGGAGCAAUCCUGGUGGCGAGUGGCGAACGGGUGAGUAAUAUAUCGGAACGUGCCCAGUAGUGGGGGAUAACUGCUCGAAAGAGCAGCUAAUACCGCAUACGACCUGAGGGUGAAAGGGGGGGAUCGCAAGACCUCUCGCUAUUGGAGCGGCCGAUAUCAGAUUAGCUAGUUGGUGGGGUAAAGGCCUACCAAGGCAACGAUCUGUAGUUGGUCUGAGAGGACGACCAGCCACACUGGGACUGAGACACGGCCCAGACUCCUACGGGAGGCAGCAGUGGGGAAUUUUGGACAAUGGGCGCAAGCCUGAUCCAGCAAUGCCGCGUGCAGGAAGAAGGCCUUCGGGUUGUAAACUGCUUUUGUCAGGGAAGAAAUUCUCUAGGUUAAUACCCUUGGGGGGGUGACGGUACCUGAAGAAUAAGCACCGGCUGACUACGUGCCAGCAGCCGCAGUAAAAC
rnacentral:rRNA from 1 species